CAGGUUUUAUAGUGAUCUGAGGCAAAGACUAAAUACUAAUCCAAUUUUAGGAGGAACAAUCCCAGACAGUUAAGAGAGGGAAAAAAAGAAAAUGAGUAUCUCUUCAGAAUCCUAAUUAUAGCCCAUAAGAAGGAUGUGCAUCCCUUCACAGCUGGGCAAAGGCCUGGAGUGAGCAAUAGUGAAGUGAACCUGAGCUUGGCUGUCACAGGAAAAGAAUCAGUCAUGAAGAUAAUUAGCGAGCAAGACUAGCUCUGAGCAUUAAACCAAGGAAGCCAUAUGUAUUUAUUUUCUACGGCUGCUGUAAGAAACUACUGCAAAUUGAGUGGUGUGAAACAGCAUAAACUUUUUCUUUCACACAUCUGGAGACUAGAACUCCAAAAUCAAGUUAGCAGGGCCAUACUCUCUCUUAGCUUCUAGCGGUUGCUGGCAAUCUUUGGCAUUCCUUGACUUGUAACGCCAAUCUCUGCCUCCAUC
rnacentral:lncRNA from 1 species